rnacentral:rRNA from 1 species
ACGGGGGGGGCAAGCGUUGUUCGGAAUUACUGGGCGUAAAGGGCUCGUAGGCGGCCAACUAAGUCAGACGUGAAAUCCCUCGGCUUAACCGGGGAACUGCGUCUGAUACUGGAUGGCUUGAGUUUGGGAGAGGGAUGCGGAAUUCCAGGUGUAGCGGUGAAAUGCGUAGAUAUCUGGAGGAACACCGGUGGCGAAGGCAAUCCCCUGGGCCUGCACUGACGCUCAUGCACGAAAGCGUGGGGAGCAAACAGGA